rnacentral:tRNA from 1 species
AGGGUUAUAGUUAAACAUAACAUUUAAUUUGCACUUAAAAAGUAUUGAUCAAUCAAUUUACCUUA